rnacentral:rRNA from 1 species
CGCACGUAGCACGGGUGCGUAACACGUGGGCAAUCUGCCCUUCGAUGGGGAAUAACCUCGCGAAAGCGAGGCUAAUUCCGCAUAACAUUCCGAUGAUCUAGGUCAAUGGAUUCAAAGCCGUAAGGCGUCGAAGGAGGAGCCCGCGCACGAUUAGCUAGUUGGUGAGGUAAUGGCUCACCAAGGCUAUGAUCGUUAGCUGGUCUGAGAGGAUGGCCAGCCACACUGGAACUGAGACACGGUCCAGACUCCUACGGGAGGCAGCAGUGGGGAAUCUUGCACAAUGGGCGAAAGCCUGAUGCAGCGACGCCGCGUGGGGGAUGAAGCUUUUCGGAGUGUAAACCCCUUUCGACCCGGACGAAUGCCCCGAAGGGGACUGACGGUACGGGUACAAGAAGCCCCGGUAACUACGUGCCAGCAGCCGCGGUAAGACGUAGGGGCCAGCGUUGCUCGGAAUUACUGGGUGUAAAGGGUUCGUAGGCGGUGCGGCAAGUUGGGAGUGAAAUCUCUGGGCUCAACCCAGAGGCUGUUCCAAAACUGCCGUGCUUGAGUGUGGGAGAGGCGCGUGGAAUUGCAGGGUGUA